UUCCUGGACGGCCCUCGCCUCUUCACCUCCAGGGCCGUCCACCAUAAGUUUCUAAACGGGUGAGAGGCGACAACGCAGUGCAGCUGGGUUAAAGGAAAGAGGCUGAUUUAUCCUCCGCACUUACUUGGUACUCGAUCUCCAGCGAGGCCUUCAGGGGCAUGGGCUGGUAGAAGCACUCCUUCUGGCCGGCGGGAAGGGUAAAGGUGAAGUCGCUAUCGAGGGAAGGUGUGAAGCCGGCCGCCCCAGGCAGCAGCACCGGAGGCAGAGCGGCCAGAAGGAGCACGGGGAAGGGCAGCCAGAUCUUGUCGCCCAUCCCUGCUGGGGAGAUCCCGGGCUGAAAGAGGCGUGAGAAAUGGAAUCUAGUUCAUCAGACUACUAUAAUAAAGACAAUGAAGAGGAAAGUUUGCUUGCAAAUGUUGCCUCCUUAAGACAUGAACUGAAGAUAACAGAAUGGAGUUUGCAGAGUUUAGGGGAAGAGUUAUCCAGAUGUUUUCAUCUUCUACCCCUGUGGAUCAGGAGAUUAAAAGCCUUCGAGAGAAACU
rnacentral:sRNA from 1 species